rnacentral:snRNA from 1 species
AUACCUUUCUCGGUCUUUUGGCUAAGAUCAAGUGUAGUAUCUGUUCUUAUCAGUUUAAUAUCUGAUAAUGGGAACCUAUGGAUUCCCGGGCGGGUGAGCCUAGGUCUACCUAUAUGUUUGCCCGCAAAUUUUUUUAAAGGGGAAGGACCCUUUACUUAGUAGCUUGCUACUUUGGGGUUCCUUCUGUGUUUCCCUUGCUUUGCUUGGCAUUUUCUUU